UCACUCCUAAUAUGUGUUCUUCCUUUUUCAUUAUCUAUUCUUCCUGCUUCUUUUGUUUUAAUUUCAACUAUAUAAUUUUAUUGUUGCCCUUCUAUCUUAUCAUUAGAACUUGCUGGUUUAUAAUUAGUUUUGUUGAUUCCUGUAGUCUCUGAUUAAUUAGGGAAGAUUUGUUUAACUUUUGAAUAUCCUUUAAUUAAUUAGAGAAAUUCUUGUUUAAUCCUGGAGAAAU
rnacentral:lncRNA from 1 species